rnacentral:lncRNA from 1 species
CGCCAAUCUUGGCGACCUGCCAUCAUCGUUCGUGGCCUCCGGCAAUGUCUCCAUCGGGAAGUGCUCCACUGACAUGAUCUCUAGUGCCUCAUUCCCCUUCAUCUCCACCUCCCUCUCCCUCUACCUCUAAAAAUAAUUAGAUCUAACUAAAGGGUAUACUGGUAUUAUUUAAAGUAAAAUGAUGUCAAAAGCAUAUCCUAUCAUGGUAGGUCU